UACAUGGGGUGCAAACGUUGCUCGGAAUUAUUGGGCGUAAAGCGCACGUAGGCGGUCCGUUAAGUCGGAUGUGAAAGCCCCCGGCUCAACCGGGGAAGUGCAUCCGAAACUGGCGGGCUAGAGUACGAAAGAGGGUCGCGGAAUUCCCGGUGUAGAGGUGAAAUUCGUAGAUAUCGGGAGGAACACCGGUGGCGAAGGCGGCGACCUGGGUCGAUACUGACGCUGAGGAGCGAAAGCGUGGGGAGCGAACAGG
rnacentral:rRNA from 1 species